ACGCUGGCGGCAUGCUUUACACAUGCAAGUCGGACGGCAGCACAGAGAAGCUUGCUUCUUGGGUGGCGAGUGGCGAACGGGUGAGUAACAUAUCGGAACGUACCGAGUAAUGGGGGAUAACUAAUCGAAAGAUUAGCUAAUACCGCAUAUUCUCUGAGGAGGAAAGCAGGGGACCUUCGGGCCUUGCGUUAUUCGAGCGGCCGAUAUCUGAUUAGCUAGUUGGUGGGGUAAAGGCCUACCAAGGCGACGAUCAGUAGCGGGUCUGAGAGGAUGAUCCGCCACACUGGGACUGAGACACGGCCCAGACUCCUACGGGAGGCAGCAGUGGGGAAUUUUGGACAAUGGGCGCAAGCCUGAUCCAGCCAUGCCGCGUGUCUGAAGAAGGCCUUCGGGUUGUAAAGGACUUUUGUCAGGGAAGAAAAGGCUGUUGCUAAUACCGACAGUUGAUGACGGUACCUGAAGAAUAAGCACCGGCUAACUACGUGCCAGCAGCCGCGGUAAUACGUAGGGUGCGAGCGUUAAUCGGAAUUACUGGGCGUAAAGCGAGCGCAGACGGUUACUAAAGCAGGAUGUGAAAUCCCCGGGCUCAACCUGGGAACUGCGUUCUGAACUGGGUGACUAGAGUGUGUCAGAGGGAGGUAGAAUUCCACGUGUAGCAGUGAAAUGCGUAGAGAUGUGGAGGAAUACCGAUGGCGAAGGCAGCCUCCUGGGAUAACACUGACGUUCAUGCUCGAAAGCGUGGGUAGCAAACAGGAUUAGAUACCCUGGUAGUCCACGCCCUAAACGAUGUCAAUUAGCUGUUGGGCAACUUGAUUGCUUAGUAGCGUAGCUAACGCGUGAAAUUGACCGCCUGGGGAGUACGGUCGCAAGAUUAAAACUCAAAGGAAUUGACGGGGACCCGCACAAGC
rnacentral:rRNA from 1 species